rnacentral:tRNA from 2 species
AAGUAGUGAAGUAAUAAAUUACAUUUAGUUUCGACCUAAAAAUAGAGCAAGCUCCUUACUUU